CUUUGACCUGUCUGGAGAUUUCUCAAGGAGUGCAGGCAUGAAUGAGGGCUUUUUCUGCUAUGUAUUUCCUGCCAUGAGAAGAACCUCAGCAGGUGACAACUUACUAUUGGGAGCUGGUGGCAAGGUGAAUGUAUGACUACUAGAGGUAGUCCUCUAGUGAGCAUGAUAACAACAUUUCUGGAUUUUUGUGUUUCUGAAUGUGGACCAUUUCUGCCUGAAGAGAUGAACAGCUUCC
rnacentral:lncRNA from 1 species